rnacentral:rRNA from 1 species
UGUCCUUUAAAUAAGGACCUGUAUGAAUGGCCACAUGAGAAAGAAACUGUCUCUUUAGGCCAGUCAGUGAAAUUGAUCCCCCUGUACAAAAGCAGGAAUGACAAAGCAAGACAAAAAGACCCUGUGAAACUUAAAAUUAAUUGUCAACCUAUGACAGACACUUUUAGUUGGGGCAACUAUAGAGAAACAAAACCUCAAACCACAUCAUCAAGACCAACAAGUCUAAAUGAAUAUACCACACCGACCCAGUACAACUGAUUAAAGAACCAAGCUACUCCAGGGAUAACAGCGCCACAUUCUUGAAGAGUCCAUAUCAACAAGAAUACCUACGACCUCGAUGUUGGAUCAGGAUAACCUGAUGGUGCAGAAGCUAUCAAGGGUUCGUUUGUUCAACGAUUAAUAAU